GCCUGCGCCAGGUUUUCAGGUGUUGCCUAAAUUCGGUGUUGGGCAAUGAAACUGGGAAGCUGGUGCAAAUCCAGCACUGCCCCCGCAACGGUAACUAAGCCUCGCUUUAGUAGUCCGGAGACCGGCCUGUUAACACACCAAACG
rnacentral:ncRNA from 2 species